rnacentral:rRNA from 1 species
GAUGAACGCUGGCGGCGUGCCUAAUACAUGCAAGUCGAGCGAACAGAUGAGGAGCUUGCUCCUCUGACGUUAGCGGCGGACGGGUGAGUAACACGUGGAUAACCUACCUAUAAGACUGGGAUAACUUCGGGAAACCGGAGCUAAUACCGGAUAAUAUAUUGAACCGCAUGGUUCAAUAGUGAAAGACGGUUUUGCUGUCACUUAUAGAUGGAUCCGCGCCGCAUUAGCUAGUUGGUAAGGUAACGGCUUACCAAGGCAACGAUGCGUAGCCGACCUGAGAGGGUGAUCGGCAACACUGGAACUGAGACACGGUCCAGACUCAUACGGGAGGAAGCAGUAGGGAAUCUUCCGCAAUGGGCGAAAGCCUGACGGAGCAACGCCGCGUGAGUGAUGAAGAUCUUCGGAUCGUAAAACUCUGUUAUUAGGGAAGAACAAAUGUGUAAGUAACUAUGCACGUCUUGACGGUACCUAAUCAGAAAGCCACGGCUAACUACGUG